GACGAACGCUGGCGGCGUGCUUAACACAUGCAAGUCGAGCGAUGAAGUUCCUUCGGGAAUGGAUUAGCGGCGGACGGGUGAGUAACACGUGGGUAACCUGCCUCAUAGAGGGGAAUAGCCUUCCGAAAGGAAGAUUAAUACCGCAUAAGAUUGUAGUUCCGCAUGGAACAGCAAUUAAAGGAGUAAUCCGCUACGAGAUGGACCCGCGUCGCAUUAGCUAGUUGGUGAGGUAACGGCUCACCAAGGCGACGAUGCGUAGCCGACCUGAGAGGGUGAUCGGCCACAUUGGGACUGAGACACGGCCCAGACUCCUACGGGAGGCAGCAGUGGGGAAUAUUGCACAAUGGGGGAAACCCUGAUGCAGCAACGCCGCGUGAGUGAUGACGGUCUUCGGAUUGUAAAACUCUGUCUUCAGGGACGAUAAUGACGGUACCUGAGGAGGAAGCCACGGCUAACUACGUGCCAGCCGCCGCCGUAA
rnacentral:rRNA from 1 species